GGGGCCGACAGGUUUCGACGGGCACAACUGAACAUCGACUGCGAGCCGAGGAACGACGGACACCUCGUAACACAUGCCGUCACCCGACAGACGCCAAUCAGAAGCGCUCUGGCUUCGCCCUCGUGGCGUGAGCUCGGGGACGCAGCGGAAGUCUCCGCCGCUGCUGACCCGUCAUGAACGGAGACUGCGAUCUCGACCGGAUGUCACCGGCGGCCGGGACGAGACAGCACCGGGAACGAACAGGAGCACCCCGCCCGCUCAGGUGACGGAGCUCCGAAGACCAACACCUGAGACACGCUCGUAGACGUCGAUGAGACGAUGUGCCCGGACGCGGGUUCAAUUCCCGCCGGUUCCACGC
rnacentral:tmRNA from 1 species